rnacentral:rRNA from 1 species
AACGAACGCUGGCGGCAUGCCUAACACAUGCAAGUCGAACGAGACCUUCGGGUCUAGUGGCGCACGGGUGCGUAACGCGUGGGAACCUGCCCUUAGGUUCGGAAUAACUCCCCGAAAGGGGUGCUAAUACCGGAUAAUGUCUUCGGACCAAAGAUUUAUCGCCUUUGGAUGGGCCCGCGUUGGAUUAGCUAGUUGGUAGGGUAAAAGCCUACCAAGGCGACGAUCCAUAGCUGGUCUGAGAGGAUGAUCAGCCACACUGGGACUGAGACACGGCCCAGACUUCUACCGGAGGCAGCAAGUGGGAAUAUUGGACAAUGGGCGAAAGCCUGAACCAGCAAUGCCGCGUGAGUGAUGAAGGCCUUAGGGUUGUAAAGCUCUUUUACCCGGGAUGAUAAUGACAGUACCGGGAGAAUAAGCUCCGGCUAACUCCGUG